AUUAUUGGAGAGUUUGAUCCUGGCUCAGGAUGAACGCUGGCGGCGUGCCUAAUACAUGCAAGUCGAACGCGCUAACUUGUUAGCGAGUGGCGAACGG
rnacentral:rRNA from 1 species